rnacentral:rRNA from 1 species
UAGGGAAUCUUCCGCAAUGGACGCAAGUCUGACGGAGCAACGCCGCGUGAGUGAAGAAGGAUUUCGGUUCGUAAAACUCUGUUGUUAGAGAAGAACAGCGCAUAGAGUAACUGUUAUGCGUGUGACGGUAUCUAACCAGAAAGCCACGGCUAACUACGUGCCAGCAGCCGCGGUAAUACGUAGGUCCCGAGCGUUGUCCGGAUUUAUUGGGCGUAAAGCGAGCGCAGGCGGUUAGAAAAGUCUGAAGUGAAAGGCAGUGGCUCAACCAUUGUAGGCUUUGGAAACUGUUUAACUUGAGGGCAGAGGGGGAGGGGGAAAUUCCAGGUGUAGCGGUGAAAUGCGUAGAUAUAGGGAGGAACACCGGUGGCGAAGGCGGCUCUCUGGUCUGUAACUGACGCGGAGGCUCGAAAGCGUGGGGAGCGAACAGG